UAUAUAAGGCGCGACUCCGGCGCCUGUUCUUUCUUUCGCUUCGUCGCGUGAGGAGGAGCUAUGGGACUAAACAUUACGCAAGUACUGCUGCAGUGCAAAAUGAACUCUGGUCAUAAAACAUCAAUGUAUUUAGAAGACUAUUUGAUGGAGAAGGAUGGAUCCUGAGUACAAAAGACUUGACAAAGAUGUAUUGGGAUAAAGAUUGGCAGCUGGAAUUCAGGCAACAAGAGGGAAGAAUUUAAUUCAAGACCUUCAGUUUUGGAUUGCAAAUUACAUCAAUGAUGUGAGAGUUCUUUAAGUGAAGACUGGAUCACCUUCAUGGGAAGAGGAAAGAGCUCUAAGAAGUCAAAUGAAGACAUGGUUUGAAGUGUUCCCCCAAAGAAAAUCAUACCCACAUGUGACAAAAUCAGCCUUAAGGAUCUGAGCACACUAGUUUGGGAGCUGGCACUACAAUUAUGGAAAAGCUUCAUUGGAAUUAAAGUUUAUGUGUGAUGAUGGAUCUUAAAUGUUUGAAUGUAGCAUUGAAUUCUAAUAAAAUACUGAAACUUUA